UACGUAGGGGGCGAGCGUUGUCCGGAGUUACUGGGCGUAAAGGGCGUGCAGGCGGUGCGGUAAGUUUAGCGUGACAGUCUCCGGCUUAACUGGAGAAGGCCGCUGAAAACUGCUGGACUUGAGGGCCAGAGAGGGACAUGGAAUUCCGGGUGGAGUGGUGAAAUGCGUAGAUAUCCGGAGGAAUACCAAAGGCGAAGGCAGUGUCCUGGCUGGCAACUGACGCUGAGGCGCGAAAGCUAGGGGAGCGAACAGG
rnacentral:rRNA from 1 species